rnacentral:rRNA from 1 species
GUGGGGAAUAUUGGGCAAUGGGCGAAAGCCUGACCCAGCAACGCCGCGUGAAGGAAGAAGGCCCUCGGGUUGUAAACUUCUUUUACCAGGGACGAAACAAAUGACGGUACCUGGUGAAUAAGCCACGGCUAACUACGUGCCAGCAGCCGCGGUAAUACGUAGGUGGCGAGCGUUAUCCGGAUUUAUUGGGUGUAAAGGGCGUGUAGGCGGGACAGCAAGUCAGAUGUGAAAACCAGAGGCUCAAGCUCUGGCCUGCAUUUGAAACUGUUGUUCUUGAGUGUCGGAGAGGUAAUCGGAAUUCCGUGUGUAGCGGUGAAAUGCGUAGAUAUACGGAGGAACACCAGUGGCGAAGGCGGAUUACUGGACGAUAACUGACGCUGAGGCGCGAAAGCGUGGGGAGCAAACAGGAUUAGAAACCCCAGUAGUCC